UCAUAGCUUUAAUGAAUGAAGUAAUAUUGUGAUGUUAUGCCUCAUCUGAAGACCUUGAGUAUUGUUUUGUGUUCAUGCCUUAGCUAGCAAGCCUGAGAUGUCUCCUGAAAAGCCUCAAAGACCGUUGAUAUAUAGAAACCAUUCUACUAAAAUUAUUUCCAUGGUAACAAACACUAAAGUUAAGGUUUCAGCUUGACUUGUGUCAGCUUUCUCACAAAUUUUACUUUUGUUCUGAAACUUCCUAUGCUGUAGCUCAGCUCAGAGGUAAACUUUUGGGUUGAACAUUUUGAGUCCACUCCAAUUCAGCUGUGAGUUGUGCAAAAGAAAGAUACUUUUCCUGUGUUUGUAAUAUGUAUUUUUAUGCAUGGAUUAAAUGGCUGACCUUUCAAACUUCAGACCCUGCUAAAUUGUAAUCUGUUCCUUAAUAAAGUUUCCUGUUUCCUUAUGAAUCUGAGGUGGAAAAAUACUCCCCUCCUCAACAGUACUUCACCCAUUUGAAUUUAAUUGGCUUCUGUUUUGUCUUUAUCAGGCAUCAGGUAACUUUUUAGUCAUGCCCUUCUCAACAAUCAAACUCCUUAACAAUGUCAAUACUGUGGUGACUAAGAAACUUAAGAGAAUGGGGGCAUCUAGAUUUGGGGUGGGUCUCUGUGCAGAAAUUUCCUCUCAUCUUUUUCUCACGUGGAUGGGGAGCCUCUACCAAUUUGGAUUUAGUGGGCUUAAUGCCUAGUAGUAUCAAAGUUCCUGAUCAUCUGGCACCUAGGAAAUUUAGAUGAACUAGGAUAUUCUACCCUAGUGUCCUGUAUUCAGGUUGUAGUUUGAAUAGGGUGCAUCUGGGGAGGCAUUCAUAUCCCCACAUAGUGAUUUGUGAACAGAAUGCCAGGUGUCAGAUUGGCAGAGCUUGUACACAGUAGCUGACCUGCCUACUAAUUCAGUAGGCCACCAUUCCCCUCGUACAGUUGUACCUUCAAUACCUCAUAUUGCUCUAUAUGAAUAAACUUACUUUGCUAAACUCCUAGAGGUGAUUUGGCUCUUGGAUUCUGAAAUAGGAUUCUGAUUUGGCUCUUGGAUUCUCUGUAGUCUUAACUUACUGUGCAGUUAAUGUUUCAAAGUGCUCACUACCUCUGUUGUAGCUCCUCCCUGGGAAACACCAUGUGAUGCAAAAAAAUAAGAGAUUAAUUUUCUCUGAGUAGAAUCUAGAAUUAACUUUGUAUUAAUCACCAAGGACACUCGUAAUAGCAUCAGUAAGCUACCAAAUUCAUGGUCCAUUUUGGUCAAUUUCGCAAUCAUAGGAUUUUAAAAAUAAUAAAUUUCAUUAUUUUAGUUAUUUAAAUAUGAAAUUUCAUGAUGAUGUAAUUGUAGAGAUCCGGACCCAAAAAGGGGUGGGGGGCUUGCAAGAUUAUUGUAGGGGAGAUUGUGGUACUGAUGCCCUUACUUCAGCGCUGCUGCUGGAGGUGGUGCUGCCUUCAGAGCUGGGUAGCUGGAGAGCAGCAGCUUCUGGCCAGGAGUCCAGCUCUGAAGGUAGAGCCACCGCCAGCAACAGCACAGAGGUAAGGAUGGCAUCUUAUGGUAUUGUCACCCUUCUUUGCGCUGCUGCUUGUUAGGGCACUGCCGUCAGAGCUGGGCAUCUAGCCAACAGCCACUGCUCUCCAGCCACCCAGCUCUGAAGGCCAUGCAGAAUUAAAGGUGGCAGUACUAUGAGUCCCCUAAAAUAAUCUUGUGACCCACCCCACCCCUGCAGCUCCCUUUUGGGUCAGGACCCCCAAUUUGAGAAAGCUGGUCUCCCCUAUGAAAUCUGUAUACUAUAGGGUAAAAGCACACAGAAGAUCAGAUUUCACGGGGAGAGACCAGAUUUCAUGGUCCAUGACAAGCUUUUUGUGGCCAUAAAUUUGGUAGGGCCCUAAGCAUCAGUAAAGGGGCUUUGCAGAAGAGCACUGCCAUAUCUGUGGUCCUGCAAACCACUUGAGUAGUUACUCAUAGAACUAUGCAGUUGAGGAGUUGACUAUUGAAAUUCAACUGUUAAGGCUCUAUGACUGAUCAGAUUUGCACCCUGACCAUUCUGAUAACUGUAUAACAUUUGGCUUAAUAUUCUAUUUUAAUGUGGUGAGUUUUAAUAGAAACUCUUUUGUUGGGAAUUUGGGUAUGGGAUAUUCUUCUCUUUAUUCUUUUAUCUUUUAACUGGGGAUGUUCAUUUUUUAAAACAUAGUGUCCAUAUUUUCUAAUGAGCCGUCAGGAAAAGUGCUUUGGUUUUGAGCCACUGAACAAUUACAGUCUUGAUACACCACUCCUUGUCAGUUUACAACAUGCUGAUUCUGGUUGCAUCUGAAUUGAGGAAAUAGAACUAAUUAAUAUUUGUAAAGCACCAUGCAGAGCUUCAAAGUCCACUAGGCACCUGUACUUGAGUGUAAUCCUCUUUUAAGAAACUAUUUAUUUACUUGCAUAACUGACUGCAGGAUCCGGGCCUUAGUGUGUUUAUGUACUGUGAUACAUAGAAAAGCUAAGUACUAUUUUUAAUCACUGUUCUUUUGCCCUGUUAAGGUUAGGGUUUUGAAGAAAAAACCCAACAAUCCUAGUGUUUUUUAAUGUAAUAAUUUGACAAAUGUCGCAUCAGCAUUUUUCUACUAAGGUGAUAGUUCCAUUAGAAAUUCAAUAAACUCAUAAGCCAGCACAUUAGAAUAUAAGUAUCCCUUUUUCUGUAAAGCUAGAUAUACAUCUUAUCCAAGACCAAUUUGAAGCUUGGGCUUUAGUGCUCUUGCUACUGCUAACAACUUUCUUUAGCCACAUUUUUAGGGAACACUUCUGCCGUACUUGACUGUGUCAGUGGCAUAGAAGCCACAAUGAGUUGAUCUGCUCUCCCUGCACAACAGGGAAAGGGAAGCAAUUAGAUUUAAUUGUCUUCCAGCAAAAUGCCAAGAAAGCAUCACAACACAGACUGGAGACCAUGAGCUGCUUAUACACAGUAUUCACAUUUUGAGCUCAUCUCUAAUACCAGGGUAGUAUGGAGGUUCUCUGUGCUAUCAAGGGAAGUUUAAUUUAUAACCAAAACUAUCUUGUAAAGUAUUUACUUACAGUCUCUUAGCAUUGUUAAAAUGUUUUCUCCAAAUCACAUGAUUGUUCCUGUUGUGUUGUAUUUUUCUAUAAAUUGCUGGGGACUGGGAUUGAUUUUUUACUGGAAUGUAUAACUGCAUGUUACUAGCAAAGCUGUAAUCCUAGUUUCUCUGAUGCACAAGUAUGAACUGUUUGAAAGUAAGAAUGCAUUUGACAAUGAAUGGACUGUCAUUGCCAUUUUGAUUCAGAUUCCUUUUAAGGCACUUCAGUUAGCAUUUAUCUACAAAUAAUUACACAAAUCUGUUUAUUUUUAUAUUUUUAUCUCCAUGCUUUUUGAUUUAACAGUAAUGUAACCACAAUAUUUUUUAAAACAAGUUGUAUAGUUUUUUAUAUUUUUGUUUUUAAAUAAAAAUAAAUAAAGUGUUUGGUUUGCUACAGAAAA